rnacentral:piRNA from 1 species
GUCAAGAAGGAAGGCUUAACCCCC